GACGUAGGGUGCGAGCGUUGUCCGGAUUUAUUGGGCGUAAAGAGCUCGUAGGCGGCUCGUCGCGUCGACCGUGAAACCCGCGGCUUAACUGCGGGCUUGCGGUUGAUACGGGCGGGCUAGAGUUCGGUAGGGGAGACUGGAAUUCCUGGUGGUGAGCGGUGAAAUGCGCAGAUAUCAAGGAGGAACACCGGUGGCGAAGGCGGGUCUCUGGGCCGAUACUGACGCUGAGGAGCGAAAGCGUGGGGAGCGAACAGG
rnacentral:rRNA from 1 species